CACUUUAGUACCAAGCAAAUCUAUACCCCUAUAGAAUCUUUUAUGUUUAAAACUAGCUAACAAGACGUACCCCUUCUCUCCAAUGCAAGUAUAAAUCAGCAAGGACCCGCCACUGAUAGUUAUCAUCCAUGAGCUGACAGUAGAAACACCCCGAGAAAACCCUACUACACUCUAUGUUAACCUAACACAAGAGCAUUUCAAGAAAGAUUAAAAGAAAAAGAAGCGAACUCGGCCAAACAUUAACCCCGCCUGUUUACCAAAAACAUCGCCUCUUGAUAAACUUAAAAGAGGUCCAGCCUGCCCAGUGACUUUGUUCAACGGCCGCGGUAUCCUAACCGUGCGAAGGUAGCGUAAUCACUUGUUCUUUAAAUGAGGACUAGUAUGAAUGGCAUCACGAAGGUUAUGCUGUCUCCUUUUUCUAAUCAGUGAAACUAAUCUUCCCGUGAAGAAGCGGGAAUAAUGAUAUAAGACGAGAAGACCCUAUGGAGCUUUAAACAAAUAUACAACUUCCCAUUUAAUUAAAAAUUUCAGAAGAUAAACACUUAUCCGGGCACUUUUAUAUAAAGUUUAGGUUAGGGUGACCGCGGAGCGAAAGACAACCUCCCCAGUGAAAGGGGGGAUCCCCUAGACUAGGUCUCUACCCUAAGUAUCAACAAACUUACACCAUUACACAUUAGUUAAUCAGCAGCCAUUACUGGUACACCAU
rnacentral:rRNA from 1 species